rnacentral:rRNA from 1 species
GAUGAACGCUGGCGGCGUGCCUAAUACAUGCAAGUCGAGCGAACAGACGAGGAGCUUGCUCCUCUGCCGUUAGCGGCGGACGGGUGAGUAACACGUGGAUAACCUACCUCUAAGACUGGGAUAACUUCGGGAAACCGGAGCUAAUACCGGAUAAUAUAUUGAACCGCAUGGUUCAAUAGUGAAAGACGGUUUUGCUGUCACUUAUAGAUGGUUCCGCGCCGCAUUAGCUAGUUGGUAAGGUAACGGCUUACCAAGGCAACGAUGCGUAGCCGACCUGAGAGGGUGAUCGGCCACACUGGAACUGAGACACGGUCCAGACUCCUACGGGAGGCAGCAGUAGGGAAUAUUGCGCAAUGGGCGAAAGCCUGACGGAGCAACGCCGCGUGAGUGAUGAAGGUCUUCGGAUCGUAAAACUCUGUUAUUAGGGAAGAACAGAUGUGUAAGUAACUAUGCACGUCUUGACGGUACCUAAUGAGAAAGCCACGGCUAACUACGUG